rnacentral:lncRNA from 8 species
GCACCUUGGUCCCCUCUUCCAGACAUCCGUUACAUCAGUGUUGCUUCCUAAGUGGACAGUUUGAUUUCACAGAAGUGUGAUUGACUUGGAGUUACAUUGUGUUGUUUAAGUGUUCCCUUUAUUUUUUUGAGCAGUAUAUAUAUAUAUAUUAGCAGAAAUGUCUUCACCCGUUUUUGCUUUGUCAUUAUGAGGUAUUGUGUGUAGAUUGAUAAGGGGGAAAAUAACGAAUUAAUUAAUUUUAGAAUAAGGCUGUAAUGUAACAAAAUGUGGAAAAAGUCAAGGGGGCUGAAUUCUUUCCGAAUGCAGUGUAUCUACCUCAUACCUUGUACCUCUGCACGUUGGUCUUGUACUGGUGCUCUCUCUAUAUAGCUCCAUUCUUUUGUAUUUUAUUUUAUUCCUUGUGUUCUUGUUUUUAAGCUCUGCAUCGUUGGGAAGGGCUCUGAGCAAGUAUUUCAUGGUAAAGUCUAAAGCAGGUGUAUUAGGCGCAUGUGAGAAAUACAAUUUGAUUCGAUCAUACUAAUUUGAGUGUCGUGUAUUUAUGUUUACUGUUACCUCUAAUCUAUAAAACCAGGCUGGACUGCACAGCAGCCAUGUAAUCGCCCACGCCCUCCCUACUCUGGCACUGUAUCAGCCAAUGACUGUAUAUACGAAGGUAUCAGCACGCUUGGCUACAUCGCAUCUCCUUGCCGGAUAGCCUUUGCUGUAUCAGGACAGGACGUCACGGCUUUGACCUAGGGCAAAGAAGCACGAGUUACCCCCUUCCAUCAGAGCAUCUGAACAUACUUCAGUUUAUCGGGCCGAGCACGCACGAGCCAGCAGGUGCCAUGGAGUCGCAUCUCUCUGCCACCGCAUAUCUCGUCCUAGCAUUGGUCUCCACAACAUCUGGGUUCUUCUGGACUCCCCGAGGUCCUCAGAUGUACCCAUGCCUCACCUACAUGGAGCGCAACCUGCGGGUAGACUGUGAGUUCCCUGUGGAAGACAACCCUGCACACCUAGGCCCCUACUGCGAGUACAAGCAGGACAGCCGACUGGUGGGAUUUGAUUGUUUUUGAUAGAUUUUCGUUCUCUUAUUUUUCUCUUUCUUUAUUUACACUGAGUGUAAAAACAUGAGGAACGCCUGCUAUUUCCAUAUCAUAGACUGACCAGGUGAAUCUAGGUGAAAGCUAUUAUCCCUUAUAGAUGUCACAUGUUAAAUCCACUUUAAAUCAGUGUAGAUGAAGGGGAGGAGGCAGGUUAAAGAAGGAUUUUUAAGCCUUGAGACAAUUGAGGCAUAGAUUGUGUAU